rnacentral:SRP_RNA from 1 species
GCUGGGCGUUGUGGUGCGUGCCUGUAGUCCCAGCUACUCGGGAGGCUGAAGUGGGAGGAUUGCUUGAGCCCAGUAGUUCUGGGCUGUAGUGCUCUAUGCUGAUUGGGUGUCCGCACUAAGUUCGGCACCAAUAUGGUGACCUCCCAGGAGCGGGGGACCACCAGGUUGCCUAAGGAGGGGUGAACCAGCCCAGGUCUGAAACGGAGCAGGUCAAAACUCCCAUGCUGAUCAGUAGUGGGAUUGCGCCUGUGAAUAGCCACUGCAGCACUCCAGCCUGGGCAACAUAGUGAGAUCCCCUCUUA